rnacentral:rRNA from 1 species
CGCCGCGUGAGGGAUGACGGCCUUCGGGUUGUAAACCUCUUUCAGCACAGACGAAGCGAAAGUGACGGUAUGUGCAGAAGAAGGACCGGCCAACUACGUGCCAGCAGCCGCGGUAAUACGUAGGGUCCGAGCGUUGUCCGGAAUUAUUGGGCGUAAAGGGCUCGUAGGCGGUUUGUCGCNUCGGGAGUGAAAACCAGGUGCUUAACACCUGGCCUGCUUCCGAUACGGGCUGACUAGAGGUAUUCAGGGGAGAAUGGAAUUCCUGGUGUAGCGGUGAAAUGCGCAGAUAUCAGGAGGAACACCGGUGGCGAAGGCGGUUCUCUGGGAAUGACCUGACGCUGAGGAGCGAAAGUGUGGGGAGCGAACAGGAUUAGAUACCCUGGUAGUCCAAGGG